GACGAACGCUGGCGGCGUGCUUAACACAUGCAAGUCGAACGGUGAAGCGCCAUCCUUUUUGGUGGGUGUGGAUGAGUGGCGAACGGGUGAGUAACACGUGAGUAACCUGCCCCCUUCUUCUGGAUAACCGCAUGAAAGUGUGGCUAAUACGGGAUAUUCUGGGUCUGUCGCAUGAUGGGUCUGGGAAAGAUAUUGUUUCGGUGGGGGAUGGGCUCGCGGCCUAUCAGCUUGUUGGUGGGGUGAUGGCCUACCAAGGCGGUGACGGGUAGCCGGCCUGAGAGGGUGGACGGUCACACUGGGACUGAGACACGGCCCAGACUCCUACGGGAGGCAGCAGUGGGGAAUAGUGCACAAUGGGCGCAAGCCUGAUGCAGCGACGCCGCGUGAGGGAUGGAGGCCUUCGGGUUGUGAACCUCUUUCGCCAGUGAAGCAGGCCUGCCUCGUUUGUGGGUGGGUUGACGGUAGCUGGAUAAGAAGCGCCGGCUAACUACGUG
rnacentral:rRNA from 1 species